AUUGAACGCUGGCGGCAGGCCUAACACAUGCGAGUCGAGCGGAUGACGGGAGCUUGCUCCUUGAUUCAGCGGCGGACGGGUGAGUAAUGCCUAGGAAUCUGCCUGGUAGUGGGGGACAACGUUUCGAAAGGAACGCUAAUACCGCAUACGUCCUACGGGAGAAAGCAGGGGACCUUCGGGCCUUGCGCUAUCAGAUGAGCCUAGGUCGGAUUAGCUUGUUGGUGAGGUAAUGGCUCACCAAGGCGACGAUCCGUAACUGGUCUGAGAGGAUGAUCAGUCACACUGGAACUGAGACACGGUCCAGACUCCUACGGGAGGCAGCAGUGGGGAAUAUUGGACAAUGGGCGAAAGCCUGAUCCAGCCAUGCCGCGUGUGUGAAGAAGGUCUUCGGAUUGUAAAGCACUUUAAGUUGGGAGGAAGGGUUGUAGAUUAAUACUCUGCAAUUUUGACGUUACCGACAGAAUAAGCACCGGCUAACUCUGU
rnacentral:rRNA from 1 species